CCAGCCAAUUACAGGGUCUCUGCUGCAGCCGAGGCUUACCACCAAAACUCGACUCAGUCUGCUGAGAGCUGUGUUACAGAUAUUGCGGGUGGAUUUCUAGUAAUUUAAGGGGAACUUCAUUCAAACAACUACGUAAGCUGUGCGUGUUAUGCACCUGUACUGGUGCCCUGCGCAUCAUAUAUCCAGAUCCAGAUCCAGUUGACGAGGCUGAAGAGCAGGCUCCUCACUCCACGGCUUAGGACGACGUGCCACACGACGGCAGCGAGGGAACGUGACGACUGCCUGACGACGGUCGCUCCACGAUGCAGCGGGAAUGUUCCGCAAGACGGCAUGGAUGGCGGGUGACCCCAACAGCUGACGCUCCCCUGAGUGGCAGAAAAACAUGCCAGUACCCAAGACGAGGGUCACGAGGGACUUAUAACUGGAAAUGCUAAUUGUCAUAGAUGUGCGUAUCCUGGGAGUUUCCAAGUUGAGUGCUGUCAUCUUAUCGGCAUCAUCAUCCUGCCCUCCUCCUCCUCCUGGGGACCCAUCACCCGGCAGUGAAAUCCUGUUACUGUGACGGUGGAAUCUGUCAUAGAGUUUCAGCUUUCUUAAAAUUAGAUUAAAAUUUUCCUGUACCAAUAAUACCGUAAAGGUUGCGUAAAGAGAAUGAAUAUGAACAGAGAAACACGGGUGAUUGACGGCAUCUUUUCCCUUCAUAAGUUUGUUGGAUAAGUCUUCCAGAGUUCGCUUCAU